ACGUGGGCGUGGACGUGGGCGUGGUUGUGGACGCGGGCGUGGACGUGGACAUGGGCAUGGACGUGGGGGGUCUCACACCCUUCGCUCUCUUCCUGCCCAGUGCCGACGGGGACUUCGCGGUCACCCACCUGACCAAGGCCCACCUGUUCCAUGACGGGCGGGUGCAGUGGACUCCCCCGGCCAUUUACAAGAGCUCCUGCAGCAUCGACGUCACCUUCUUCCCCUUUGACCAGCAGAACUGCACCAUGAAAUUCGGCUCCUGGACCUACGACAAGGCCAAGAUCGACCUGGUGAACAUGCACAGCCGCGUGGACCAGCUGGACUUCUGGGAGAGUGGUGAGUGGGUCAUCGUGGACGCCGUGGGCACCUACAACACCAGGAAGUAUGAGUGCUGUGCCGAGAUCUACCCAGACAUCACCUACGCCUUCGUCAUCCGGCGGCUGCCGCUCUUCUACACCAUCAACCUCAUCAUCCCCUGCCUGCUCAUCUCCUGCCUCACCGUGCUGGUCUUCUACCUGCCCUCUGAGUGCGGCGAGAAGAUCACACUGUGCAUCUCCGUGCUGCUGUCACUCACCGUCUUCCUGCUGCUCAUCACCGAGAUCAUCCCGUCCACCUCACUGGUCAUCCCGCUCAUUGGCGAGUACCUGCUGUUCACCAUGAUUUUCGUCACCCUGUCCAUCGUCAUCACGGUCUUCGUGCUCAAUGUGCACCACCGCUCGCCGCGCACGCACACCAUGCCCACCUGGGUACGCAGGGUCUUCCUGGACAUCGUGCCGCGCCUGCUCCUCAUGAAGCGGCCGUCCGUGGUCAAGGACAAUUGCCGGCGGCUCAUCGAGUCCAUGCACAAGAUGGCCAGUGCCCCGCGCUUCUGGCCCGAGCCAGAGGGGGAGCCCCCCGCCACGAGCGGCACCCAGAGCCGGCAUCCGCCCUCACCGUCCUUCUGCGUCCCCCUGGAUGUGCCAGCUGAGCCUGGGCCUGCCUGCAAGUCAUCCUCCGACCAGCUCCCUGCUCUGCAGCCCCCAGAAGCUGAGAAAGCCAGCCCCCACCCCUCGCCUGGACCCUGCCACCCACCCCACAGCACCCAGGCACCAGGGCUGGCCAAAGCCAGGUCCCUCAGCGUCCAGCACAUGUCCAGCCCUGGCGAAGCAGUAGAAGGCGGCGUCCGGUGCCGGUCUCGGAGCAUCCAGUACUGUGUUCCCCGAGACGAUGCUGCCCCCGAGGCAGAUGGCCAGGCUGCCGGCGCCCUGGCCUCUCGCAAGACCUACUCGGCUGAGCUCCCACCCCCAGACCAGCCCUCUCCGUGCAAAUGCACAUGCAAGAAGGAGCCCUCUUCGGUGUCCCCGAGCGCCACGGUCAAGGCCCGCAGCACCAAAGCGCUGCCCCGGCACCUGCCCCUGUCGCCGGCCCUGACCCGGGCGGUGGAGGGUGUCCAGUACAUUGCAGACCACCUGAAGGCCGAAGACACAGACUUCUCGGUAAGUCCUGCCCAUGGCUGUGUUGGGCGCCUCUGGCCCAGACAGAGCCAGCGGAUGCCCUCUCUUCUUGGUGCAUAAUCCAGGAGCCAGGCCCAGGCCCCAGGUUGCUUCACUCUGGGGUGCA
rnacentral:sRNA from 1 species